GUGGGGAAUAUUGGACAAUGGGCGAAAGCCUGAUCCAGCCAUGCCGCGUGUGUGAAGAAGGUCUUCGGAUUGUAAAGCACUUUAAGUUGGGAGGAAGGGCAGUAAGUUAAUACCUUGCUGUUUUGACGUUACCGACAGAAUAAGCACCGGCUAACUUCGUGCCAGCAGCCGCGGUAAUACGAAGGGUGCAAGCGUUAAUCGGAAUUACUGGGCGUAAAGCGCGCGUAGGUGGUUCAGCAAGUUGGAGGUGAAAUCCCCGGGCUCAACCUGGGAACUGCCUCCAAAACUGCAUGACUAGAGUACGGUAGAGGGUAGUGGAAUUUCCUGUGUAGCGGUGAAAUGCGUAGAUAUAGGAAGGAACACCAGUGGCGAAGGCGACUACCUGGACUGAUACUGACACUGAGGUGCGAAAGCGUGGGGAGCAAACAGGAUUAGAAACCCGUGUAGUCC
rnacentral:rRNA from 1 species